GGUUUGUGGCUGUGAUACAAAUAAGGCAAAUAAUUUAAAACAAAUACUUGCAGAAUAUGUUUGACUUUCAUUUUGUCCUUGGAAAAUUUGGGGCCUAAGUUAAAGAUUCACAGAGAAGUCAAAAGGCUACCAGACACAAAUACUACCUUAAGAGCUCAGCUUCUGGGAGAGAAAAACCUGGGUUUGGAUCCAGCUGUACUCAGUAUUUCUGGCAUCUCAUCCAAGCACUUGACUCCUCUAAGAAUUGUAUUUCUCAUUUUUAACAUGUGAGUAACAACAGAAGCAACCUCUGUGAUGGUAAAGGCUCCAAGGUGGGUUUGCAUUUCCCACUUGGAAAGAAGGCCAACGCCCCCAGAAAGGAGUGCAUGUGGCCAUUCAAGGGUGCCUACUGAUUUCAUCCAUAGUAUGCCAGGUGGGAUAUGGGAAGACUAUGUUAACGGUAAUACUUCAUCAGAAAUGGAGAAAACCAAGUAAAAGCUCAUUCAGCUUUACUGCCGAAAACAACUCACCAAAUGUUUGACAUACAAAGAAAACACAGCUUUAAGGCAAAGAAUUGUAGACGUGCAAAAGGACAACUGAUGUCACAACAAACAGAAACCACAACUGCUCCAAGUGCUAAUCUUCAGGAGGCCUUACCAGAGCUACAUCUUGUUUGGGACCUAAUCCCCAAAGAGCUUAAAGCACUUCACAAAUUUAUUUGAGUCACCAGUACAUUAGCAAAGUGUCAAAAGGGUAGAUAAUUUGCACUUUUUUUUUUUUUUUACAGAUUAACACACAAAAAAAGAAAUGAUAGCUGACCUUGAACACAUUUCUCCUGGUUCUUAGACUGAUUUUUCCUUUGAUCCCAUUUUAUCUCAUUGAAACAUGGAUACACCUGUCCCUUUCCAUACAUAUCCCAAUUGUCCUUGGGGACAAAGAAUCUCUUUUAUAUAAAUCCAACACUAUUCCUGGAGAAGGAAAUAGCAACCCACUCCAGUAUUCCUGCCUGGAGAAUCCCAGGGACAGAGGAGCCUGGUAGGCUACAGUCCAUGGGGUCGCAAAGAGUCAGACACGACUGAGCGACUUCACUUCACUUCAUAACAGUUGUGGGAAAAAAAAUUAGGUCAUACAAUGAACGUGAAGAUCUGGUGUGGAGACAGAGAUGUAGAAAGGGAAAAAGCUUAAAACCAUCUGAAAAGUAUCUGUGUCUUUGAAAUUUACAGAUGGGGAAACUAAGGCCAAAGUCACAUACUAACUUUUAUUUUUUUUACUGCUUAGGGAAUUGCCUUCAAGAAGCAAAAAGCAUUACAAUAUAAAGGUAUAUUUAGUGAACAGUUAUUUUCUUUAAAAACAUACAUGACCUCUAUUAGAGUUUCAUAGCUUAGGGCCUCUUGUUAUAUACUCACAAAUCACUCUAUCUUAGUAUUUAUCACAAUUGCAAUUAAUUAAUACAUGCUUAAUUGCUUAUUUAACUUUGAUUUCUCUAAACAAAAAGUCCUAGGAGGGUAGGACUGUGACUGUGGUUUCACAGUAAUAUUCCCAGUGUAUCUGGCACUGUUUUGUUUUAAAUUAAUAAACUGUAUUUUUUAGAGCAGUUUUAGGUUUACAGCAAAAUGAAGCAGAAGGUAGAGACAGUUCCCAUAUAUUC
ensembl:lncRNA